rnacentral:lncRNA from 1 species
UUUUUGAUCCUGGAGAUAAGGAAAAAGGCUUCUAAGCAGAUGCGUCAUGCCUGCUUUAUUUUCCAUUAGAAGCAGGGAAGGGAUUUAACUCUCUCCUAUCAGGGUGUGUGUGGGGGAAAGCUCAGCUUGCCUGGUGCCAAAAUCCAUGCUGUUAGUGGGGAUACUGGGAGAGCUUGGAGUACCCAUCCCUGGAAACAUCAUUAGUUGUGGAAAAGCCAUUCAUUAGUAACAGGCAAUAUGUCCUUCUCUCCCCUCCUCUGAAGAAUAGGCAGUGCUAUCUAAAUAAGCUGUUUCCUGAGGAGUUACUCAAAGUUACUGCUGCAGCUCCAGGCCAGCUCUCCUCCCCCAGGAGCCAGACUGAAACAAAGCUUUUGGAGAGGGAAAAGCUGCCCUUUAUUCCAGCAGUCGGUGCCAUUCCUCUGAGGCUCCUCCUCCCUCAUCCUCCUCCUCAGUGUGCUCCCUGCUCGUUUUUUCAGCUCCCAUCAUUUGCCAAACCAUUUCCAUGUCUACAGGCUGCAGGCACUGGAGUCCUCUGUGCUCUGGGUUUGUCCAGAAUCCCCUCUGACAUCCCAUCCCCGCCCCCUUCAGAUUCUCUUCACUGGCUUCCCACAACCUCCUGCAUUCCUUGUCUUCCUCCAUCCUCAUCUUCCAUAAAACCACUGACUUCCCCAGGCCAGAGGUCAUCACCUGGCACCUUCUCACAGGCUUUGUUCUGGAGCAUCCUGGAACCCAGAGCCCGACACUGGAGAGGGAAAAUCGGGAGCAGCAUCUCCAAACGCCUGAGUGGCAGCAGCGCUGUGGGAAAACCUUUGCUGACAAGGAGGGAGAAGUUUGUGAAGGUUUCUCCAGUGGGCUGGUGGAAACCGGCUCUGGUGGGGCUGGAGGGUGCAGAUGGAGGAAGGAGAGUCCUUCUCUGGGAGUUGUGCCCUCUGCUCUGUGUUACCAGCACUUAAUUCCACCUUCUCCAUUAGAAACACUCCCCUGCCCGCCGCAGUCGCCUUCGGGAGGUGUUUGGGACAACACGUCAAAGCAGGAAAGACUCUCAGAGGAGAGGGCAGCUGUGGGGACACGGAUGGAUGUCCCUGUGCUGCCUUUCAGGCCAGCCCCGCACCAGGCUUUUAAUUUUGUAGGCUUAUGAAUAAUUUCUUUUCUAAAAAAAACCAAUUACCGUG